CCUACGGGAGGCAGCAGUGAGGAAUAUUGCGCAAUGGGCGAAAGCCUGACGCAGCGACGCCGCGUGAGGGAUGAAGGUCUUCGGAUCGUAAACCUCUGUCAGCAGGGAAGAACGGUCACUGUGCUAAUCAGCCGUGAAUUGACGUUACCUGCAAAGGAAGCACCGGCUAACUCCGUGCCAGCAGCCGCGGUAAUACGGAGGGUGCGAGCGUUAACCGGAAUUACUGGGCGUAAAGCGCUCGUAGGCGGUAUGCCAAGUCAAGGGUGAAAUCCCCGCGCUCAACGUGGGAACUGCCUUUGAAACUGGCAAACUGGAGUGUGGGAGAGGAUAGUGGAAGUCCAGGUGUAGGAGUGAAAUCCGUAGAUAUCUGGAGGAACAUCAGUGGCGAAGGCGACUAUCUGGCACAUAACUGACGCUGAGGAGCGAAAGCGUGGGUAACAAACAGGAUUAGAUACCCCUGUAGUC
rnacentral:rRNA from 1 species